CCCUAUGGGGUGCAGCAGGCGAGAAAACUUUGCAAUGUGCGAAAGCACGACAAGGUUAAUCCGAGUGGUUUCUGCUAAAGAAACCUUUUGUCAGUCCUAGAAACACUGAUGAAUAAGGGGUGGGCAAGUUCUGGUGUCAGCCGCCGCGGUAAAACCAGCACCUCAAGUGGUCAGGAUGAUUAUUGGGCCUAAAGCAUCCGUAGCCGGCUCUGUAAGUUUUCGGUUAAAUCUGUACGCUCAACGUACAGGCUGCCGGGAAUACUGCAGAGCUAGGGAGUGGGAGAGGUAGACGGUACUCUGUAUGAAGGGGUAAAAUCCUUUGAUCUAUUGAUGACCACC
rnacentral:rRNA from 1 species